rnacentral:misc_RNA from 1 species
GGGAGAUUAAGUUAGGAGAAAUUAAAGAUGGUGUGGGUAUGUAUAGGUUGGGUUAUGGUGGUGGCUAUGGUGGCUGCAGGAGCAACCAGUGGCGGAGAAGACGUCACAUAUGACGGCAGGUCUCUCAUCAUCGAUGGCCAAAGAAAACUUUUGUUUUCGGGUUCAAUUCACUAUCCUCGAAGCACUCCUGAGAUGUGGCCAUCUUUGAUAGGCAAAGCCAAAGAAGGGGAACUAGAUGUUAUUCAAACCUAUGUGUUUUGGAAUCUCCAUGAGCCCCAACCUGGAGAGUAUGAUUUCAAUGGAAGAAAUGAUUUGGUGAAAUUCAUAAAGGAAAUCCAAGCACAAGGUCUUUAUGUCUGCCUUAGGAUUGGACCUUUCAUCGAGAGUGAAUGGACUUAUGGGGGUUUACCUUUUUGGUUGCAUGAUGUCCCGGGCAUUGUUUAUCGGUCAGAUAAUCAACCUUUCAAGUGGUACAUGCAAAAUUUUACUACAAAAAUAGUAAACUUGAUGAAGUCGGAGGGUUUAUAUGCUUCUCAAGGAGGACCCAUAAUUUUAUCACAGAUUGAGAAUGAGUACGGAAACAUUGAAUCGGCUUUUGGAGGAAAAGGAACUUCAUACGUCCGCUGGGCAGCGAAUAUGGCCGUUGACCUACAAACUGGUGGGCCGUGGAUUAUGUGCAAGCAAAACGAUGCUCCCGAUCCAGUGAUUAAUACAUGCAAUGGAAUGAAAUGUGGAGAAACUUUUGGAGGGCCUAACUCCCCAACAAAGCCAUCACUCUGGACUGAGAAUUGGACAUCAUUUUAUCAAGUGUAUGGGGGAGAACCAUACAUACGAUCUGCUCAAGACAUUGCGUUUCAUGUGGCUCUUUUCAUUGCUAAAAAUGGAAGCUAUGUAAACUAUUACAUGUAUCAUGGUGG